AUCGAAAAAACGUGUUUUUCUUUAAACAAAUUUUAUCUAAAAUCAAUAAUUUCUCAAUCAAUAUUAAUAAGAACUACAUGUGCAUGGAUUGCCAGUUGGAUUGAUGUUUGUUUUAAGAAGAAAUUUCUCUCAAGUAAGAUAUCCACUCGAGAAAGGUUAUUGCAGCUUGCAGCAACAUCAUGUUUUAUCAAGUAUUGAACCACACAAAGGAUUAAAUCUUUAUUACAAUAUCAUUCAUAACUCCAUUUAAAUCAAUGGAAACUAAAUAUGGAUCGUUUCAUGGAGUAACAACAUACUUUGGAGUUUGGACCCAAAAUACAAUACACGUUAAUAUCGAACUUAUAAGGUGUUAAGCUGCAAUUACAAUAAAAGUGCUUGCUAUGGAAUCACCGGUGCUGAUCAUUAUUGUCAACUGUUACUUAAAAUCCAGAUGAGCCAACCUUUACUUCCUAUUCAAAUAAGUUUAGAAGAAACCUAUAUAAGCAAUAAAACCAGACCAAGAAUGCUUGAUUACAAACGAUGAACUCAUUUCAUUUGCAAGUUAUGCCAUGACAUAAAUGCAUUAAAUUAGGAAGAUUUGUAUUAGAUGAAUAUUGACUUCUGUUGAUAAGAACAUUUGAUUGGUGGAAUCCAGAUUCUGUGAAUGUACAUGUAAUUGAUUGACAAGUACACAUUUGACAAGGUGGUGAGAAACGUGUAGAUCUGGCCUGCUUACAGUGGCUAUUGGAUUGGACAGAACCAAAGUGAGAGUGAACGUGUGAAUUUAUGGAGAACAUUAAAAACUAUUUUACUAUAAGUCAUAACGCAACUUAUUUUGUAUGAGUUACAUACAAAUGUCAAGCCGUGAGUACAUUAUGUAAAAACUAAAAUAAUGUACCUACUGUAAUCACAACAGUAACUGUAAUCUUUUAAAAUCCAAUAGUUUUAAUGCUUAUUGAUUUUCGUAAACAAAAUAUUUCAUGUUAUUUUUCAUCAAUAAAGUUUCAUUUGAUA